AGUGAACGCUGGCGGUAGGCCUAACACAUGCAAGUCGAACGGCAGCACAGUAAGAGCUUGCUCUUACGGGUGGCGAGUGGCGGACGGGUGAGGAAUACAUCGGAAUCUACUUUUUCGUGGGGGAUAACGUAGGGAAACUUACGCUAAUACCGCAUACGACCUACGGGUGAAAGCAGGGGACCUUCGGACCUUGCGCGAUUGAAUGAGCCGAUGUCGGAUUAGCUAGUUGGCGGGGUAAAGGCCCACCAAGGCGACGAUCCGUAGCUGGUCUGAGAGGAUGAUCAGCCACACUGGAACUGAGACACGGUCCAGACUCCUACGGGAGGCAGCAGUGGGGAAUAUUGGACAAUGGGCGCAAGCCUGAUCCAGCCAUACCGCGUGGGUGAAGAAGGCCUUCGGGUUGUAAAGCCCUUUUGUUGGGAAAGAAAAGCAGCAGGUUAAUACCCCGCUGUUCUGACGGUACCCAAAGAAUAAGCACCGGCUAACUUCGUGC
rnacentral:rRNA from 1 species